rnacentral:rRNA from 1 species
CAUUCACGGAGAGUUUGAUCCUGGCUCAGGACGAACGCUGGCGGCGUGCUUAACACAUGCAAGUCGAACGAUGAAGCCCUUCAGGGUGGAUUAGUGGCGAACGGGUGAGUAACACGUGGGCAAUCUGCCCUUCACUCUGGGACAAGCCCUGGAAACGGGGUCUAAUACCGGAUAACACUCUG